rnacentral:lncRNA from 1 species
UAUACCAGUUGACGAAAAAAUAUCCAAUCAAGAUCGGAUCAUCAGGGUGCAUCUGAAAAUUUUUUAUUCUAAAAUUUUAUAACCUUUAUAAAUUAUCUUAUAUGUAGUAGAAUAAGAAUCAAAAUUCUCAGGGGGUUACUUGAAUCUAAUGUCUCACAAGAUCUGGAAGUACAGGUCCUCUACUUCGCACGCACGCCAAGCCCGAUAGGAAAAAGAGAUGAUCUUCGGGAUGUCACACCUUCUGAAGGCUAGCAAAGAGAGAGAGAAGAUCUAAUCUCAUGCAUCUGGAAGGGAGUCUUCACACCAAGAUAUAGCACCCAAGAACUCCACCACACCAAAGAAAGGAUGCUUCCUUUCUUGUUGCACAAAACCUCAUGGUGAUUUUGUGUUGUCGCACAAAACUUUUUUUUUUCAUAAUCAUCAGUGGUUUGUUUCCUCCCUUUGAAUAAGUGAUGCCCC